rnacentral:rRNA from 1 species
UUUCAACAACGGAUCUCUUGGUUCUGGCAUCGAUGAAGAACGCAGCAAAAUGCGAUAAGUAAUGUGAAUUGCAGAAUUCAGUGAAUCAUCGAAUCUUUGAACGCACAUUGCGCCCGCCAGUAUUCUGGCGGGCAUGCCUGUUCGAGCGUCAUUU